UACGUAGGGACCAAGCGUUGUUCGGAUUUACUGGGCGUAAAGGGCGCGUAGGCGGCUUGUCAAGUCACUUGUGAAAUCUCUGGGCUUAACCCAGAACGGCCAAGUGAAACUGUCAUGCUAGAGUGCAGAAGGGGCAAUCGGAAUUCUUGGUGUAGCGGUGAAAUGCGUAGAUAUCAAGAGGAACACCUGAGGUGAAGACGGGUUGCUGGGCUGACACUCACGCUGAGGUGCGAAAGCGUGGGGAGCAAACAGG
rnacentral:rRNA from 1 species